rnacentral:rRNA from 1 species
AAUGGGCGAAAGCCUGAUCCAGCAAUACCGCGUGUGUGAAGAAGGCCUGCGGGUUGUAAAGCACUUUCAGAGAGGAGAAAGCUAUGUAGGUUAAGAGCUAAUGUAGUUGAUGUUACUCUCAGAAGAAGCACCGGCUAACUCUGUGCCAGCAGCCGCGGUAAUACAGAGGGUGCGAGCGUUAAUCGGAAUAAUUGGGCGUAAAGGGUGCGUAGGCGGAUUCUUAAGUCAGAUGUGAAAGCCCCGGGCUCGACCUGGGAAUGGCAUUUGAUACUGGGAGUCUAGAGUAGAGGAGAGGAGAGUGGAAUUUCAGGUGUAGCGGUGAAAUGCGUAGAUAUCUGAAAGAACACCAGUGGCGAAGGCGGCUCUCUGGCCUCAUACUGACGCUGAGGCACGAAAGCGUGGGGAGCAAA